GGACGGGAUAGGAGAGCUUGCUUUCCUUGAGAGUGGCGCACGGGUGCGUAACACGUAUGUAACCUACCUUUAUCAGGGGGAUAGCCUCUCGAAAGAGAGAUUAAGCCCGCAUAAAAUCACAGUACAGCAUUGUACAAUGAUCAAAUAUUUAUAGGAUAAAGAUGGGCAUGCGGAACAUUAGCUAGUUGGCGAGGUAACGGCUCACCAAGGCUACGAUGUUUAGGGGAUCUGAGAGGAUGACCCCCCACACUGGUACUGAGACACGGACCAGACUCCUACGGGAGGCAGCAGUAAGGAAUAUUGGUCAAUGGGCGGAAGCCUGAACCAGCCAUGCCGCGUGCAGGAAGACGGCCCUACGGGUUGUAAACUGCUUUUGUACUGGAAUAAACCUUCGUAUGUAUACGAAGCUGAAUGUACAGUAAGAAUAAGGAUCGGCUAACUCCGUG
rnacentral:rRNA from 1 species